AGUGAACGCUGGCGGUAGGCCUAACACAUGCAAGUCGAACGGCAGCACAGGAGAGCUUGCUCUCUGGGUGGCGAGUGGCGGACGGGUGAGGAAUACAUCGGAAUCUACUCUGUCGUGGGGGAUAACGAAGGGAAACUUACGCUAAUACCGCAUACGACCUACGGGUGAAAGCAGGGGACCUUCGGUCCUUGCGCGUUUGAAUGAGCCGAUGUCGGAUUAGCUAGUUGGCGGGGUAAAGGCCCACCAAGGCGACGAUCCGUAGCUGGUCUGAGAGGAUGAUCAGCCACACUGGAACUGAGACACGGUCCAGACUCCUACGGGAGGCAGCAGUGGGGAAUAUUGGACAAUGGGCGCAAGCCUGAUCCAGCCAUACUGCGUGGGUGAAGAAGACCUUCGGGUUGUAAAGCCCUUUUGUUGGGAAAGAAAUCCAGCUGGCUAAUACCCGGUUGGGAUGACGGUACCCAAAGAAUAAGCACCGGCUAACUUCGUGCCAGCAGCCGCGGUAA
rnacentral:rRNA from 1 species